rnacentral:rRNA from 1 species
GAUGAACGCUGGCGGUAUGCUUUACACAUGCAAGUCAUACGGAAAUUAGUUUCGGCUAAUUUCAGUGGCGGACGGGUGAGUAACACGUGAGAAUUCGCCUUUAGGAGGGGAUAACAGGGGGAAACACCUGCUAAAACCCCAUAUGCCUUCGGGUCAAAAGAGUAAUCUGCCUAAAGAGAAGCUCGCGGCUGAUUAGCUAGUUGGUGGGGUAAAGGCCUACCAAGGCGACGAUCAGUAGCUGGUCUGAGAGGAUGAUCAGCCACACUGGAACUGAGACACGGUCCAGACUCCUACGGGAGGCAGCAGUGAGGAAUUUUUCUGCAAUGGGCGAAAGCCUGACAGAGCAAUACCGCGUGAGGGAANAAGGCUUACUGAGUUGUAAACCUCUGUUACCUAAGGAGGAAGAUCUGACGUUACUUAGGAGACGAAGCAUCGGCUAACUCCGUGCCAGCAGCCGCGGUAAUGUGACUACUG